rnacentral:rRNA from 1 species
UACGAAGGGGGCGAGCGUUGUUCGGAUUUACUGGGCGUAAAGGGCGCGUAGGCGGCCGAUCAAGUCAGGCGUGAAAGCCCCGGGCUCAACCUGGGAAUGGCGCUUGGGACUGGUUGGCUUGAGUUCGGGAGAGGGAUGCAGAAUUCCAGGUGUAGCGGUGAAAUGCGUAGAUAUCUGGAGGAAUGCCGGUGGCGAAGGCGGCAUCCUGGACCGAGAUUGACACUGAUGAGCGAAAGCUAGGGGAGCAAACGGG